AGUGACUUCGAUAACGGUUAGAGAAAGAUGAAGCUCAACAUCGCGUACCCCCGCAACGGGACGGUGAAGCAGUUCGAGAUCUCGGACGAGGUGCUCCGCCGCGUGCAGCUGCAGGACUAUCGCCUCGGCAACGAGGUGGACGGCGCCAUCUUUGGCAGCGAGUUCAAGGGCUACAUCUUCCGUCUGCGGGGUGGCUCGGACAAGGAUGGUUUCCCGAUGGUCCCUGGCGUGCUCGCCUCCAGCCGUGUGUCGCUGCUGGUGAAGCGCGGUGCAAUCGGCUUCAACACCUUCCGCGGCUACCAGGGUGAGCGCCGCCGCAAGAACGUUCGCGGCUGCGUGCUCGCGAGCGACAUUGCGCUGGUGAACGUGACCAUCUCCAAGGUCGGUGACCAGCCGAUCGAGGGUGUGACGGACACCACGGCUCCCCGCCGUCUGGGCCCGAAGCGCGCGAGCAAGAUCCGCAAGCUCUUCAACCUGUCCCGCACCGAAGACGUGCGCAAGUACGUUGUUCGCCGCCGCGUCGUGAAGAGCGGCAAGAAGGACCGGCUGAAGGCCCCGAAGAUCCAGCGUCUGAUCACGCCAAGGGUCAAGGCCCGCCGUGCCAAGAAGGCCAAGGACGCCAUCGCCAAGGUGCGCGCGUCUGCCGCUGAGCGCCGUGAGUACCUGCGCCUCAUCGCCUCGAACCGCCGUGCGCUGCGCCAGCGUGACCACUCCAAGAAGCACACCCAGAAGGUGCACGCCCAGCGCGCUGAGGUGGCCGCAUUCCAGAAGAAGUAAACGAAUGUGCGCGUCUGUGGGCGUGUGAAUGGGGUUUCGUAGGAUAGCCUGCCGCUUUUUGUUGGUGCAAACAGACGACAUGAUCAGCAGCACCGCCACCUCCGCGGCACCCACGCUCACAUGUACUCGUGCAUACGAACACACCACCCGCCAACGCACGUACAUCAUCGUCUCUGCACGCGAGGCGCUUGCGGCGUGCCAUUGUCUUUCCCCGUUUCGAUUUCAUUUGUGAUUUCUCUCCUUUUGAGUUGUUCAUUGACAUGCAAAUAAAAAAACGAUGAAAGCAGAGAGCACACACACACACACACACACCAACUCAGACAUAGGGAUGUGCAUGAGGCAACCGAACCCCCUCCCCUCCCCUCACCCCAUUUUCCGCAGCCCCCAUCGAGUGACACGUAGCAGCGCCGCUACUGGUUAAAUCGAGGGAGUGAAUGGGAGGAAGAUCACGGUCUUCUGCCCUCAAAGACCACUCCAUCGUGAAACUCCCAGGUGUGCGGCUGCUGGCAGACCUGCACCUCCUCGAUAAGAGAGGGCAGCACCCCUCGAGGAGCAUGAACAUGCACGUAACCUCGCUGUAGCUGAUGUACGGGCUGCUUUCCUCCUCGUACCAAUGCUGCUGAUGCUGCUGGUGGUGGUACUUCGCUCUUGUCUCUCCGUCUCGCAUUUUCUAUGCGCUUUUUCACGUGCGCGCCAUUUCUUCCCUUCUGCUACGACGGCCAUGCAUUUGUGUGUGCGCUUGCAGGAGGAGGAUAUGGGGAGAGAGGGAGGCGAGGCAAGCGCGGCAGCGAGCUAGCGGGUGAGAGAGAGGAGAUCCAGCACUUGUAGCAGUGGAAAGUAUGUUCGCGCUCCUUGUGUGUGUGUGUCUGUAUCUAUUUCUGUGAGGGUGGAUAUGCGUAGCCAGUCUUGCGUGUCACAUGGCACUUCUCAUCAUUUUGUUUCGCUUUCUCAGCACCUUCUCCAAUUCUUUUCUCGCUUCAUCCACUGCCUCGCCGCUGUUGCCCUGCGCAUCUCUUGCCUUGUGACGGCUCGUCUGGAACAACCCACAAAC
rnacentral:misc_RNA from 1 species